rnacentral:rRNA from 1 species
CUGGUGGCGAGUGGCGAAGCGGGUGAGUAAUACAUCGGGAACAUGUCCUGUAGUGGGGGAUAGCCCGGCGAAAGCCGGAUUAAUACCGCAUACGAUCUACGGAUGAAAGCGGGGGACCUUCGGGCCUCGCGCUAUAGGGUUGGCCGAUGGCUGAUUAGCUAGUUGGUGGGGUAAAGGCCUACCAAGGCGACGAUCAGUAGCUGGUCUGAGAGGACGACCAGCCACACUGGGACUGAGACACGGCCCAGACUCCUACGGGAGGCAGCAGUGGGGAAUUUUGGACAAUGGGCGAAAGCCUGAUCCAGCAAUGCCGCGUGUGUGAAGAAGGCCUUCGGGUUGUAAAGCACUUUUGUCCGGAAAGAAAUCCUUGGUUCUAAUAUAGCCGGGGGAUGACGGUACCGGAAGAAUAAGCACCGGCUAACUACGUGCCAGCAGCCGCGGUAAUACGUAGGGUGCGAGCGUUAAUCGGAAUUACUGGGCGUAAAGCGUGCGCAGGCGGUUUGCUAAGACCGAUGUGAAAUCCCCGGGCUCAACCUGGGAACUGCAUUGGUGACUGGCAGGCUAGAGUAUGGCAGAGGGGGGUAGAAUUCCACGUGUAGCAGUGAAAUGCGUAGAGAUGUGGAGGAAUACCGAUGGCG